UUGACCCAAACUUCUUUAAACUGUAACAUACUUAUGGGAAUAUCGUAUCAUGGAUAUUAUGUUUAAAUAUUCACAUAGAUUGUAUUGUAUUAAUUUUCUUUGUAUCUCAGUUUGUAGUUGGUGGCCUAUUCUUUGCUUUGUUGAAGGAGACCCUAACCAGGGAAUUUGCAGAGGAUGUGUACUAUGUUGUUGAAACAAUGAGUCAGACUGACUUCUGUGAUGCAGUUCUCUUCAUAAAUCUUUGGGCUUAAUGAUUACCACACAACUCACAAGGGAAAUGUAUUUGUAGACAGGGAUGGAAAACACUUUCGGCACAUCUUAAACUGGUGGAGAGGCGGUGUGGUUCCCAGCUUGAGUGAUUUAGAGUGUUAAGAGCUUAUGCGGGAAGCAAAAUACUGUCAGCUUCUUGGUGGGCUCGAGCUCAAGCUCGAAAUUAUUUGAGGUGGUUGGGCUCGGCUCGAGCUUUAGCUCGGAGAUAAAUGAGCCUCAGAACGAGCCAACGAGCCGAGCCAUGAGCCGAGCCAAGGUGGGCUCGAGCUACUCCUAAAGGAGCUGCUCAAACUGGAUGGGAUCGAGGCUCAUGGAGAAACAAAACUCAGAGGUGAUUUGAGGAACUAGAAGUUGAGGAACUAUUGGAACAACUUUCUUCUUUGCAGUAUUUAGUCUAUUGCCUUAUGGGAUGCAGGCCUAAGGGUGCAACUUUUGGCAAUUAUUUGAUACUAUAUGCUGUAAUCUUGUUUGGUGCGGUCCUGCUCUUUGUGUCAGGCCGGCCGUUUUAAUAAAGUUUACCUUUCAAAAAAAAUUUGAUACUAUAUGCACUGGCUUUGGUGCUCAAUGAGAGUUUUAGAAAUUUCGUGUUGUGAAUGUUGGAAUUAUCAAUCUUAUUGAUAAGGUAAACUAUUUCUUGUGUUGUCAACCAAGUGAUUUUUUUAUGCGUAAAACCUUGUAACUCAUUUUAUUUAAAAGGUCAGAUUACUAUUGAAAUUAUAUAGUUUUUGUAAUUACUGUUGACCACCUGUAAUCAUUUUUUAACUUUUUAAUGAGAGAUGUGAGUUGUGACCCUUUCUUACCCAAUUUGUGCAACUUUUUUUUUUGGAAAUUCUACCCAAGUAUCAAGAGGUGUAUUAUUGUAAUUACUUAAAUUAGAUUUUUAUUAACUCUUUUUCUUUAAUUGUUCCAGCCUCCAAUUUUUAGUACAUUAAAAAGUUAU